UUCAUAGCUUCACACAUCUUCGAGUGGCUUAGUCAAUGGUGUAGAUGUCUUCAUAGCCUGCCUGUCAUUUACAGUUAUCGACUGUCUUUAAGAUAUGAGAUCAGUUGAAAAACCCGCAAUUAUAUUCUGAUGGAGAUACCUCAUGAGUAACCAAUCCCCAAUGAUGUUAUGAAGUUUUGAAACAAAAUUACCAGAAUAUCAGAAGUACCAUCCAAGGAAGACCAUCAGCGCCACCAACACCAAAAAACAGAGAAAUCGCUUUUGUAUAUA